rnacentral:rRNA from 1 species
GACGAACGCUGGCGGCGUGCUUAACACAUGCAAGUCGAACGAUGAAGCGGUGCUUGCACCGUGGAUUAGUGGCGAACGGGUGAGUAAUACGUGAGUGACCUACCUUUGACUCUGGGAUAAGCCUGGGAAACUGGGUCUAAUACCGGAUACGACCAAUCUCUGCAUGGGGUGUUGGUGGAAAGCGUUAUGGAGUGGUUUUAGAUGGGCUCACGGCCUAUCAGCUUGUUGGUGAGGUAAUGGCUUACCAAGGCGACGACGGGUAGCCGGCCUGAGAGGGGGACCGGGCACACUGGGACUGGGAUACGGCCCAAACCCCUGCGGGAGGCAGCAGGGGGGAAUAUUGGAAAAGGGGCCGAAGCCUGAAGCAGGAGCGCCGGGGGGGGGAUGGAGGCCUUUGGGUUGGAAACCGUGUUUAAGCGUGAAAAAGGGGAAUGGGAGGGGAGGAGAAGAAGAAGCGCCGGCUAACUACGUG